UACGGAGGAUGCGAGCGUUAUCCGGAUUUAUUGGGUUUAAAGGGUGCGUAGGCGGGCUUUUAAGUCAGCAGUAAAAAUUCGGGGCUCAACCCCGUCCGGCCGUUGAAACUGGGGGCCUUGAGUGGGCGAGAAGAAGGCGGAAUGCGUGGUGUAGCGGUGAAAUGCAUAGAUAUCACGCGGAACCCCGAUUGCGAAGGCAGCCUUCCGGCGCCCUACUGACGCUGAGGCACGAAAGUGCGGGGAUCGAACAGG
rnacentral:rRNA from 1 species